UACGUAGGGUGCGAGCGUUGUUCGGAUUAACUGGGCGUAAAGGGUGCGUAGGCGGGUUUUUAAGUCAGGGGUGAAAUCCCGAGGUUCAACCUCGGAACUGCCUUUGAUACUGGAAAUCUUGAGUCUGGGAGAGGUGAGUGGAACUGCGAGUGUAGAGGUGAAAUUCGUAGAUAUUCGCAAGAACACCGGUGGCGAAGGCGGCUCACUGGCCCGGAACUGACGCUGAGGCACGAAAGCGUGGGGAGCAAACAGG
rnacentral:rRNA from 1 species